rnacentral:rRNA from 1 species
GAGUUUGAUUAUGGCUCAGGACGAACGCUGGCGGCGUGCCUAAUACAUGCAAGUAGAACGCUGAAGGAAUAGCUUGCUAUUCUGGACGAGUUGCGAACGGGUGAGUAACGCGUAGGUAACCUACCUCAUAGCGGGGGAUAACUAUUGGAAACGAUAGCUAAUACCGCAUAAGAAUACUUAUUGCAUGAUAAGUAUUUAAAAGGAACAACAGUUUCACUGUGAGAUGGACCUGCGUUGUAUUAGCUAGUUGGUAAGGUAACGGCUUACCAAGGCGACGAUACAUAGCCGACCUGAGAGGGUGAUCGGCCACACUGGGACUGAGACACGGCCCAGACUCCUACGGGAGGCAGCAGUAGGGAAUCUUCGGCAAUGGGGGCAACCCUGACCGAGCAACGCCGCGUGAGUGAAGAAGGUUUUCGGAUCGUAAAGCUACUGUUGUCAGCCAAGAAUGUAUGUGAGAGUGGAAAGUUCACAUAGUGACGUACGAC